GGCAUGUUCGAGGCCGCCACAGGGCAGCUGGGAGCCAGGAGGCCAGCAUGUCCUCUUCCCUCACGGGCUGAGCAGCCCCAGGAAAGUGUCCGCACCUCUCUGGGCCCUUGUAGGCUGGGAUGAUCCUACCUGGAAUUGAGGACCGCAGGGAAGACCUUGAGAUGAGGGGACACAGUGACGGGAAACACGGCCGCCUGGCUGGGCCUGGAGGAGAGGGGUCCUGGGGAGGGUGGGCCGUGUGGACAGUGGGACCCCUGAUGGCUGCAGGGCCUGGACACAGGGCUGGAUGAAGCCUUGAACCCUGCCCCCCUCCGUGAUCUCAGGCGCGCCUCGUUUUGGGUCAGCCACGUCUCAAGCGCUCGGUGGCCCUGUGUGGCCCGUGCCACCGUGCUCCCCAUCCUGAGUUGUCCAUCCGGAGCGUGUCCGGGUGAGUGCAGUGGCCAACACGCAUCGGACCGCAUGCUCAAAGUGGGAGCGUUCCUCAUGUACGAAUUAUACUUCGAUACAAUCGAUCGCUCAUAGAAUUAAAUACGAUAGAUUGAUCUGGAUUACAUUUGAAAACCUGGGCCUGCUGCUCGGAGGCAGGGAGCUGUGGGAAGCCUGGUCUGGGAGCCCCAUGUGCGGUGCAGGGCUGGUGCCUCUGGGCCUCCCUCUGCUCCUCUGUAAAUGAGGAGUUGCCGCGGUGACAUGCGACAGGCCCAGCCCACUGCACGCCUGGCUCGGCACGCGGUGGAUCCUACCCCUGUUCCAGACACUGCUUCGCAGACUGUAAAGGGCUGUGCACGUGUGAAGCUGUAGCUCUUGUGUUGUGUGCCAGACCCCUGAGACUUGGGGUCAAGCCACUCACAGCUCAGGGCUGGCCUGGCCAGAGGUGGGCCCUCAGUCCUCCCGCAGGUCCUGACCCAGCACAGCCGAGGCCAGGCCUGUCCCGAGGUCUCUGUGAUCUGUCCCCUCCUGCUUCUCCAGCGCCUGGAGCUGAGGGACGGGAGACUCCAGCCGCCAGGCGCUGUCACGGCCUUCCCUGAAGCCGCCAAGUGGUUACGCAGCAAGAUGUGAGCUGCGGACUGAUUCUCUCCUAGCCGAAUCCCACCUGCUCCACGGCACGGAGCAGGCUUCAGCCUCCUGCCGGAGCCAGCACCAGGGGGUGUUUAAAUACGUGUGCAAAGAAAGAAUUUAAUGCUCGGGAGCGUCAUAUACAUAUUUCACCAAAGACGCACGAAACUGGGACUCGGAAGCCUGGAAUGCUGCCGGAGGGCAGGUAAGGAUUUAAGGGGGCUCGGGCAAAACGGAAGGGCACGCACCGCUCCGGGGCGGGAAGCUACACUCUUCAGAUGUCGGCACUCCCGGUUUACCGAUUCCGUGCAAACGCCGGCAAAAUCCUAGCUGCCUCCCCCCCGAAAUUAACAUGGUUAUCUUAAAGCUCACAUGGAAACACAAGGGGCCCAAAAUAGCCGAAACAGUCUUAAAAAAGAACAAAGUUGGAGAACUCACAUGUCUCGAUUUUAAAGUUUAUUACAAAGGCACCGUGGCACGGCACAGGGGCGGACGGGGACCGAUGGGAUAGAACUGGGGGUGCAGAAAUAAACCCCUUGCUUGCCGUCCACCGAUUUCUGUAAAGCACGUUUUUAAACAUUAAAGGUAUUGAGGUGACGUCGGUUAAUAAAAUUAGAUAGGCUGCGAUCGCAAUUCCAUAAGGCAUGGAUGGCUGCAGGGCAGGCCGGCCUCCCGUGGUCUGGUCUCCUUCCGUCACCGUCACCGUCAUGUCACCGUCACCGUCAUGUCACCAUCACCGUCACGUCACCGUCACCGUCACGUCACCGCCACGUCACCGUCACCGUCACCGUCACGUCACCGUCACCGUCACGUCACCAUCACCAUCACGUCACCGUCACGUCACCGUCACGUCACCGUCACGUCACCGCCACCGCACCGUAACCGUCACGUCGCCGGGUGUUAGGUCCCCCUCCCGUCUCCCUCGUAACCACUGCGCUGGCACCUGUGUCUGCGAGGUUGUCUGUCUGUCUGUCUCAUUCGUUCGUCGCUUUCGGUGUUAUACGCACAUACGAGUGAAAUCUUUGAUUUCUGGCAAAAGAGCCAAGACCGCCCAAUGGGGAAAGAAUAGUCUUUUCGACAAAUGGUGCGGGGACACCGGGGCUGGCCAGCGGCUUCUUAGCCGUGACACCAGAAGCACAAGCGACAAAAGAAAAAUAGAUGAAACGGACAUCACCAAAAUUUAAGACUUUCGGCUUUCGAAGGACACCCCUGGAAAAGUAAAAUGAACCUCCGGAACGCAAGAACAUUUCUGCAGGGUGUAUCUGGUAAGGGACUUGUGCCUAGAAAAGAUGAUGAAAAGACAAACGACCCGAUGUUUACAAUAAGCAAAGGAGCUAAACAGACGUUUCUGCAAAGAAGACGCACGAAGGGCCGGCACACACAGCAAAGAGGCCACAUGGCCAUGGCCGGCUCGUCCCUUCCCCCACCCAGAUUAGCAAAUGCGAGUCAAAGCCACAGUGAGACGCUGCCUCGCGUCCACCAGGGCGGCUCACAGGACCACGAGGAACGACGCCCGUGGGCGCGGCUGCGGACACACGGGAGCCCUCGUGCGUUGCCGGUGGGGGGAUAAGGUGCCGCCGCCACCGUGGAGUCUGGCGGUCCCUCGAGCGGGUAAACAGAGCCACCGUGUGACCCAGCAAUGCCGCUGGGUCCACACGCCCGCACAAAAACCCAUACACGGGUGUUCACAGCGGCAUGUUAGUAAUGUCCCCAAAUCGGAAACAACCGGAAUGUCCACUGGCUGAUGAAUGACAGGCCAACAUGUCCGUCCACACGGUGGGCUGUCACUCAGCCUCAGAGAGGAAGGACACUGACACCUGCCACGGUGUG